rnacentral:rRNA from 1 species
UACGGAGGAUGCGAGCGUUAUCCGGAUUUAUUGGGUUUAAAGGGUGCGCAGGCGGAUUUUUAAGUCAGCGGUCAAAUCGUGGGGCUCAACCCCAUCCAGCCGUUGAAACUGGGAUCUAGAGUGUGCGAGAGGUAUGCGGAAUGCGUGGUGUAGCGGUGAAAUGCAUAGAUAUCACGCAGAACCCCGAUUGCGAAGGCAGCAUACCGGUGCACAACUGACGCUCAGGCACGAAAGCGUGGGUAUCGAACAGG